rnacentral:rRNA from 1 species
AUGCCCGCGGUCUUCGAAAUCCCUGUUGCACAGGAAACAUGUUGGGUUCAUAUCCAUCUUUGUUUGGAACAGUUAACUUUCCAGAUACAUGGCCAAGGUGGAGGCUUUUCUGCAACACUAGAGCUAGAGGGGCUCCCAGUAUCACGAUUAAGGUUUAUCUUCAUUAUAGAGCCUGUAAGCAGAUUUCACCGAGAAUAUAUUGCCCCCAUUUGUCAUAGUGCUGAGCAAGCGAGCCUUCAAAAUUCUCCCGCAAAGGAAUUUAUUUUAUCACUUAAGAAAUCAUUCUUUUUUACCCAGCAAAACAUGCAUACGGAAUAUUUCCAUUUCAGCACACGACGCAUACACAAUCAAGAUCUCUCUAGUUCAGAAUAA